rnacentral:misc_RNA from 1 species
UUUUUGUUGUUGUUUUAUGAGGGUUUAGUUUGUAAAUCCUUCAAACCAGAUAGGAUUGUUAAUAGUAAUAGAAAAUAGUAUGUGUGAGGUGUUGGAUCCGCGGGUGGAGGCGAGACGGCAUCGGCGGGUAGCAUGGCUUUGGCCAUACGGACCACAGCAGAAAGUACCAUGUUUGGGCUUCAGGUUGCCAUUGGAGACGCCGAAGUUCGAUCCUCACAACAGACACAAAACAGCUGUUAAUCAUUUCGGUUCAUUUGUACAAAUUUCACACAAAAAGCACCCCGAGGGAUGCCAGAAAGGAGUGAAGGACGGUGACACCGCAAUGGACGACGAGAGGUACUCCGAGGAUCCUUCCGACAGGAAGAAGUCCGACACGUACAUAUCUUCUUCGGAAAAAAUCAAAAAGAGGCUUGAAUCCCUAGCCAAAGAGAGAGAUUGUGCAGUUGAAAUGUGGAACCUUGCUAAGGAAGCAGCCGAUGCCAAAAGGGAGGAGGCAGUGAAAUGGGCAUCAGAAGCAGAGAAGCUGGCUUUCCGUAUGGAUGAAAUGCAGAAAGACUAUUCUGAAGCAAUCAAACUUAUGGAAAGAAAGGUCGAACUCUUGGAAUCAGAGCUGGGAAAGGCAACAACUAAGAAUGAACUGUUGGAAGCCGAACUGCAUGAUGUCAAGCGUGAUUAUAUGGAGCUAAAGAACAGCGUUGCAAGAAGUACUUCUGAAAUGGAAAGUGUCAUCAAGGAAAGAAACGAGCUGAAAGAGUCUCUGGACCAGACAAAAGAGCUCCUUUAUCAGGCAGAAAAAGUCAGCGUACAGGCUCGAGACAAAGUCACUGAUGCCCUUGCUAUGGCUCAAGAUGCUCUUGCCAAUGAAGCCAGUAUUACCGAAGAAGAAAAAGCUAGGUUGGAAGAUGCAAUGGCUGAAAUAUUGACUGCUGCAGAGCAGAAGCUCGCAAAAGAAGUGGAAAAGACAAGAAAAGAAAUGGAAGACAAAGUGAACGAGUUGCAAACACAAUUGCAUACCUUAACUAUUGAGAAAAACAGGGUUGCACUUGAGAAUGAAUCGGUUAAAUCUGAAUACAGAGUUCGUCAAAAUCAAACGAUGGACAAGACAAAAGCACUUCACCAUGAAUUAGAAGAACUGCGAGCAAAGUAUCAACCUAAGAGAAAAAAUGAUCUCCGUAAUAGGUGUUAGUUGAGUAAAAUGUUGUCCGUGUCAAGAUAAAAUGUCCCAUGUCAAGAGGAAGUAUUGGCAUUAACCAACCAUUGAAGACAGUCAGAUUUGGUACAGUGGCAUGAUGAAAGGGAUUCACUGAGACGUCAGGUUGCGGCCCUGCAGGGAGAAACGGAGUCAUUACUUGCACAACUCAGAAGGCGCCAGAUGCCAUGUCCUGACUGUAAGGAGCAAAAAAUCCAAGUAGAUCGAUAUCGGAAACUUGCUAAAAAAUGGGAAGAAACCGCUGAUAGUGUCACCCAAAAUUUUGAGAAAUACCUGAAAGAAGCUAAAUUGGCAUAUACGGCCAAAAGGCCAGUGAUUCCUGUUGGGAAAAAUUAAAAUGUGGCAAAUGGUGUUCUCUGAUGUGCCUCUUCUUCAGAUCUUUAAAAAUGUUAUUUUUUGUUGUGGUUUCAAUUCAUUAACAUAAUGGCUCUGGUUGAAAAGGGUUUGGAAAGCCAUUCAAAAUAUACUUUCUACAUUACAGUGA